rnacentral:rRNA from 1 species
UACGGGGGGGGCAAGCGUUGUUCGGAAUUACUGGGCGUAAAGGGCGCGUAGGCGGCCUUCUAAGUCGGACGUGAAAUCCCUCGGCUUAACCGAGGAACUGCGUCCGAUACUGAAAGGCUUGAAUCCGGGAGAGGGAUGUGGAAUUCCAGGUGUAGCGGUGAAAUGCGUAGAUAUCUGGAGGAACACCGGUGGCGAAGGCGACAUCCUGGACCGGUAUUGACGCUGAGGCGCGAAAGCCAGGGGAGCAAACGGG